UUCUCUCACACAGAUGGAUGGAAGAUUGCAUUACACAAGAUUUGGUAUUAAAUCCAGAACGGUAUGAAGUGUCUGGAUCAAACCACAAUGCUAGCAGCAAUGCUCCUAAGCAAGCAAGAACUAAUGCAGCCAAAAUGAGACCUGGUUUAUUCAAUGGUUGC